UUGAUGACUCUCGACAACGGAUAUCUAGGCUCUCGCAUCGAUGAAGAACGUAGCGAAAUGCGAUACUUGGUGUGAAUUGCAGAAUCCCGUGAACCAUCGAGUCUUUGAACGCAAGUUGCGCCCGAAGCCUUUAGGUGGAAGGCAUGCCUGCUUGGGCGUCAUGU
rnacentral:rRNA from 1 species